GCAUUGGUGGUUCAGUGGCAGAAUGCUCGCCUGCCACGCGGGCGGCCUGGGUUCGAUUAUUGGCCGAUGCA
rnacentral:tRNA from 1 species